rnacentral:pre_miRNA from 1 species
GUGUGGAUGACAUUGAGCACCAGGGACAGGUGUGUUUACCUGUGUGGAUGGUGUUCAGGGACAGGUGUGUUUACCU